rfam:Parcubacteria (Nomurabacteria) bacterium GW2011_GWB1_47_6 TY01_C0032, whole genome shotgun sequence.
UGCCGGGUAGUGAAGCGGUAUCACGCCUGCCUUUGAAGCAGGAAUCCUAGGUCCGAUCCCUAGCCCGGCAG